GGUGACUCAGUGGUAGAGUGCUUGCCUUGCAUGCAUGAGGCCCUGGGUUCAAUUCCUCAGCACCA
rfam:Dipodomys ordii contig_63349, whole genome shotgun sequence.